GUCUGAUAGUACUACUGGCUUGCUUUGCAGGGAAGUUGUUUACAUACAUGAAAGCAAUGCGCUCGACUUGCUUUAACCCACUCUUUAUCCUUCUGCCCCAAAGACAACGUUGUUGGAUGGGAUCUGAUAGAAGCCAUGAUUGACAGCGACCCCAAUUUGCGCCCCUCGGCUGCCCAGGUCCUCCUGCACCCCUUUUUCUGGAACCCCGAAAAGCAGCUGCAGUUCUUCCAGGCUGGACCUGAUCCUGAAUGAGUGGCUACAUUUCUUGGAACACAAGCAGAGAGUUCACAAAAACCAUGACUCCAGCAAACAAAGAAGAAUGUGGCCUUCAAAGUUGACAAGUCCAUGGAGGGCUUAUAAAACCACAACUACAUUCCCU
rnacentral:lncRNA from 11 species